GCGCAAUUCUCUUCCGGUGAGCGGGGCAGCGCGCGCCCGGCCAGGCGGACUGGAAACGGUAGCUCUUAACGGUUCCCCGCCCGUUGGUGGCAAGGCGGCUGGACUAGAAUCCCAGCAGACGACAUGCGAGGAGGCGGGCAACCUAGGAGUGUUGGGCAGAGCAGUGUGGACCUCGCCGCUUCCACGGCGAUGCCGGCUACUGAUCGCGGGCACCUCCUUGCCAUGGGAAGGAAAUUAAUGUUAUGACUGGAUAAAGUCAAUUGUGAAGAAACUGCACUUCCAGGUUGUCUAUCUCCAUAUUCUGAUGGAAAAGCAUGGAAUUUAGAAGCAUUGCUCGCUCCUUCAGUUUCUAACAAGCCAGUUCUUGGAGAUACUAGGAAGCCAAGAGUUCCCUCCAAGAAUGGAGAUUCCUUGGAAGUGAGGUUCACCUUGAGUCAAUAAAGAUGAAUUACACGUGGUCAAAGGUCAUUCAGGGUCUCAAGAACAGCCAGAAAGAAGAGCUGGGGCUGACGGGAUUGUGGGGGUCCUCUCUCCCACCUGAAAAGCUACUGCUGCCUGCCGACCCUCUCAAGAGGAGACCUCUCUGGGCUCCAGCACCUAAAACAGACAAACCUGGGAGGAUGCUUCUCUCUUUUGUGUCACACGUGUCCUGGAGAAAACCAGUGUAUCUGAAUGACCAAAGAAAACUGUGAGAAAAAGUGCAAAAUCUGUACCAGGCCAUUCAGUGUCUGGAUGGGGCUCUGUGGUGCACAUGCAUUCCAAGAAGAUUGGAGAGUGCCAAGCCUGCAGGAAAUGUCCCUCAGACCUGCCUCUCACACCUGGAGUAUGACUGCCGGUCCAGGUUCUGAUGCAGAACUGUCUUUAAAAGGUGACUGCGGAUAUGGAGAGAGGGAUUUCUAACCCUGAUAGAACAUGAUCAGCUGUUUCGCUGGGGAAAGCCACAUCCACCAGUGACAUGCUGCUCAGACUGGCCCAGGACACACUCUACUACCUAAGGAAUAAGCCCCACAUUUGCUCUUUGUGGGUGAAAGGAGAGGGUGAGAGAGGAGAGGAGUGUCCGCACAGACAUGAGAAGCCUGCAGAUCCAGAUGACCCCCUUGCUGAUCAGAAUAUGAAAGAUCGCUUUGUGAAAACAAUGACCCCAUAGCAGACAGAUAAGCUUCUAGAGCAGGCUUCAACCAUGCAUCAUCCAGACCCACUGGUGGAGAAGUCUGCCCCCACUCUAUGUUGGUGGUCUGGAGGAUAUUAUUACUGAGACAGAUUUAAGAAAUAAUCUCUACCUGUUGGCAAGAUCUGGACGGUCACUGUUGUGCAGAGACAGCAGUGUGCUCUCAUCAGCUUUCCACAGGGCAGACUGUGGAAAUGGCCACUGAGAAUUCCUUUUAUAAAUUCAUUGUCCAUGGCUUCAGACUCACCAUCAAAUGGAAGAAGAGUCCAAACUCUCAAAGAAAAGGAAAAAGAAGGAUGGAACUGCAGACUUUGGGAACCUGCCAGAGCCUAUUUCAGUACUGCAAGGAGCUCCUUCUCCCCCUGCAGCUCUAGUCCCCACCUUGGAGCCUCCUUCCAAGGAGUGAGACUACCUUUCUGACUUUUUCUGACCAUGGAAAACUUUUCUGACUUUUUCUGUCCUUGGCACCUGCUGAGGACAGCAGACCCAGGGACCCAGUCUCCUGGGCCCAUUCUUGCCCAGCUUCUUCUUGAUCAUGUGACUUGAAGGCAUUCUUAUGCAGUGGAAGCAGGGCCCCAGGACCAUGUGAUAGAUCGAUGGUCUCUGGCUUCUGCCCCACUGAUGGUCAGAUGGUGGCCACUCAGGGUGUGAGAGCCCAGCCAUCGCUGCUUUCUUGAGUUGAAGAGGUUGGAGGCUGGUCCACCUGCUCCUAUCCCACCCUUGGCGAUGUGGAUGGUUGCUCCUUGAGCCUGGUAACAUCUCUGCCUUGGCCCUGCCAGGCAUGCCCUGACUUGGGGGGCCCUGCGUACCCACACACUACUUUAAGGGGCUUGCCCUUCCUUGGGCCAAAUUCUAAUUUUGGCCAGUGCCCCAGGAAGCUCAGUCCUCUGUUUUGUUAUCUUGGCUAUUUCUGGGGCACUCAUAGUUCUCCUGGGUCCCUUUUCUCCUAGGGCUUGGGCUGGGCUGGGCAUCUGUAGGUCUGGGAUGUUUGCCCUGUGAGUGAGGCUCUGUCACACAAGUGGGCAGACAUGGGGACAUGUGAUAGGCGCUGGCUGGCUAGGGUUCUGCAGAUGCCACAAUCCUUCUGCCCUCCAGCAGCCUCUGAGUCCAGCUUCCCCAUUGACACUGACUUCACCCAGCUGAGGAGCUGUCUGGGGUUGUCUGGGUGCUGUCUUGGCUCCUUUAAGUCUGUGCUGCUCGGUGGCCCCUGAGAAAGGUCAGGUCCAGGUGCCACCAUGCAAGGGGAGUAUCUAUGGCCCUACCGCUGGGGUUUCGGUGGGCUGGACAAGGCCUGGUUGUGGGGGCCCUGAUGGGGUUCAGGGCCAGGGCCUGUCCUAUGGUCCUGGGGGUGUCCAGGGAAGAUGAAAGAACAAGGGUUCGGCAUCCCUGCUCAAAGCUGCACUGUGGACACCAUGAGCCCUGGAUGUCAAGAUCCAUGGGGAGUUUGGGAGAGAAUUUCAACACAGAACUCGCCAAAAAUCCCAUGAUCUAUCCUGAGAUGGGAACAGACUUGCCACAUCUUGAGCCACUGGGCCCCCAGAGAGUGACCUGCUGUCCUGGGCUCUACAUAAUUCUCAUGCUGCUGGGCCUUGGCCUCAGGUCAGCUUCUGGGCUUCUGGAGCUGGGCUGGUGGGCCAGCCUGUCCCCCUUGGGAAGGGUCUCCAUGCUGAGGAACACCCACAGAGGCCUGGGUGCCACAGACACUCGCUCCAGAACCAGGGCCUUCCUAGGGGUCUUUGGAUGUUUAGCUGAAUGGAAAGCAAACUUGGUCCACUUCUCCCCCAAACCCAUCUGACCCUUGUUUGGGUUUUUGGAGUCUUGGGGUCUCUAGUAACCCUCCUGGUCUGACACUGAAGAAACACUACAGGCUGCUGAUCCCACAGUGAGGGGUGUGUGCUGUGGGGAUGGGCACUCGUGAGUGAGGGUCCCUGCCGAUUCCACAGUGAGGGGUAUGUGCUGCCUGGGGUAUGGGCGCUUGUGAGUGAGGGUCCUUACUGAUUUCACAGGGACGGAUGUGUACCACCUGGGAUAUGGGUGCUUGUGAGUGAGGGUACCUGCUGGCUCUCGUGAGUGAGGAUCCCUGCUGAUCCCACAGUGAGGGGUGUGUGCCACCUGGGGUAUGGGCACUUGUGAGUGAGGGUCCCUAGUGAUUUCACAGUGAGGGGUGUGUGCUGCCUGGGGUAUGGGAACUCAUGAGUGGGGACCCCUGUUUCUCUCUGGCCCUGUUGGUGCUCGCAGCUGUGGGUGUGGGCUGGCACAGAUGGGACUGAACCCUCCAGGGUCCUCCAGGAUUCUUCUAGGGCAGGAGGGGAAGGGUGUGGUGGGGGGCUUGGAGGGGUCUUGCCCUCAUCCCCUGCCCUGUUACUGAGGUGAGUCCAACACCUGCCCUGGGGCCCAACUGGCCUGUUUUUAGAAGCUUCUUAGAGAAGGAAGAGGAGGAGGAGAAGGAAGGCCUGGGGAGCAGGGAUGGAGGGUCCUGGGCACUCCCCACUGUUUACUGUCUUAGAUGGUGACUCAGGAGGAGACCUGGUGCUAGAGACCACCUGGGGGGCAUGUCACAGUGCAUCCUUCUGAGCUCAGCCAUGGAGGCCUAAAAGUGCCUGAGAACCACAUCAUCAUCCAGAGCCCAGGUCUGGGACAGUGCGUCUUGGGAGAGCUCCCACAGGACAAACAGGAGAGCUUCAGGAGAGGGUCUAGGUUUGGGGCUGGGCAUCAGGCCAGGGGGAGUCUCCUGGGAGGGGUCUGUGCCUUCACCCUGUUUCUGCCCUGGGCACCUUGCACUGGGCAGUGCUGGGUCCUUUCUGGGCACCCCUGGGGGCCAGUUCUGCACAGGAGGCAAUGGAUACAGGAAGGUCCAGGCAGGGAAGUGUCUGCCACACUCCUGCCUUUCAUCUGAGUUGUGUCAGGGGUGGGUUCAGUUUCCAGGAGGACUCAUGGUGCCCUCUCCAGCCCACCAGAGUUGGAUUGGUUUGGCCCUCCCUCAGGGCUAAAGCGGAGGGUCCUGUGGGCAGUGUGGGUACUGCCCUUGGGCCAGGUUUGAUGUGCCUGUGUGCUCCCCCAGCACCCUCGGGCACAUGGGGACAGGGUUCUGUGCACUUUCAAUGCCAUAUGUGCGCUGGCUGUGAGCGUGUGCUUGCCCUGCAGAAAGCAGAUGUACCAGAGCCUCAGGAUGAGCUUGUGAUGAGCUUGAAGUAGGAAUUUAUGGGGACAGCAGGCAUGGGAGGACCAGGUCCUUCCAGGUGGAGGGCUGGUGGCAUGAACAGGGAAUACUAGAGCCUCAGUCUGUGGUGCUGGGGACCCCUAUGCAUGGGAUGAGACCUCCCACAUAAGGCUGGAUCAGAUAAGGUCUUGCACUUCUUAUAGGGGUGGUCUCAUCUCCAUCAAAUGUGGGCCCUGAAAGAAGGGGCUCCCCAAGUACUCUCCCAAGAUGAGUCCUGGCCCAGUCUGCCCAGGAUGCCGGCCCUGAGUCCCAGCCCCAGUCGUGUGAUGCCCCCUCUCAGACAGGGCAUGGUUUGUGUGCCCUGCAGGGACCUGCUUCUGCCUCCUGUGCAGAGAAAGGGAGCUGGGUCCUUCUGGAGGAGCCAGACCCCUCAGCUGGGGAAGCCAGGCCCUGUAGGGCAGCAGGGUCUCUGGCCUGGGGGUCUCCUGUGCACACUUGUCCCAUCAGUCAAGCACUGUAGGAGUCAUUUUAAGGUGAAUAUCUGGGUACACAACAUUUGCUUGUUUUCACGGAAUGAGCAGAGGUGUUCAGAGCCCCCUGGACUGCCCUGAAAACCUCACUAUUCCAGGCCCCUCUGCAGACCCUUCCCAAGGCCAGAAUUCCAACCAGUUGGCUGUCACCCUCUUCUCUUGAGACACUACCCCUGUCCUGAGACCUCCCCAUUGCCCCUCAGAUGCCCCAUCCCUCCGGAAUGCCCACCUCCCCGGGGACCCUCCACGCCCCACACGCCUUACUUGAUGCUGCAGCGCUCUCUGAACAGGCCGUGGCUUAUGAAGGUGUGGCUCACAUCUAGGUCGUUCUGGUGCACAUUCACUGAGGACAUCUUGGCCUGCUUCAUUUUCUAUAGAGUACGGCCAAGCCUCAGAACAGACACAAGACUCACUGUCAAAACUGCUGUCAUGAAACAGUGGUUCCGGAAGGAAAAGAAGCUUUUUCUGCAGAAACUUCAUUUCCAAAGCCAGGGAAAAUCAGCAGUGUGCAGCUCACCUGUGUUGCCCACGCCACUGUCUGCCCAGGAUUUGUGACUGACCCCUUCCGCCCCCUUGGGUUGACUUUCCCUCCAUCUGGGUAACUGGGCUUCUGACACGUUCUGGCCUAUGCAUCCUGCUCUGGCUGGGACUGGAAGGACCAGACCUGGUGUUUCCCUGGGUUCUUGUCCUUCUCCUUCUUGACAUUCAGUAGGGAUGACCAUGCUGGGCCCCAGACCUCUGUGAGGAUUCCUUUGUAGACCCAAUAAGACAUCUGUGGACAGAAGAAUGCUCUGGUGAGACAAGCCUCAGGGUGACCCCAAGGGGGAUUCAAACCUAAGGAUUCUGGAAGUUUCCAGCCUUUGGCUCCGCGGUUCCUCAGGAGAGGUUUGUCUGCCUAGGCCUGGGCCUCCCCAUGAAUAAAGAGUGAGCAAGAGCUCAGGUUGUGAACUCUGAUCGGGAUUUAUUCCUUCCUUUGGGGUGACCAGAAAGUGUUCCUGUUCCUGGCUUAGAAGUGGCCCAGGCUCCGGCAUCAGAUUCCUCCCAGCAAGGUGAUCCUUGCAGGGAUGGGCAGGAGGGCUGGGGACCAGGCCUGUUGUCCUUUUGGUGAGGAAAGUGUACCCUUCUCUGUCUGAAAGGCAGGCAGCACCAGGCAGCAACAAUGGGCACCUGUCCUAAACACUGAAGAGCAGUCACGGGGGACACUCACUCACAGCUGUGCCCUCUUGCUGUUCCUAGAUUUAUUCCAGUUGUUAAACAUUCAUAGCCAUUUAUCUGUGCAUCUGAUGUCCUGAUAUGUUUGCUGUAGAUAAGAAGUGAUGGAGUGAGCUGAGCUGCCAGGCUUCCUGUUCUGAUUCUUGGAUGCUGGGUCAUGUGCUUAGGGGCCCCAAUGUGACUGAACUGGAAGGAGCCAGAAUAGGACAGAACCCAGCCCCUGAUGAGUGGGCACUGGUGGCCUGGCCUCAUGACCACAAGACGCACUGUUUCCAGGGCACAGACAACCUGGGCUUUGGUUGGGUCUUGGCCUCCAGGUAGGGCCCUGGUGGGCAGCGGGCAGUGACUACUGAGACACUACUGUGAUUCUCGGUGGUGGCUGUUGUAAAACACCUGCAGGGCUGGAGUUUAGUAUGAGAUUCAGCAGGAGCUGUGGCCUCUCCCAGUGACAGUGUGUCACUCCCCCUCGCCAGCAACCAUGCCCACAGGCCACGGCCUCUGCCUCAUCAAAUCCCCACCAAGUCACCCAUCUAUGGAGCAGCUUCCAUGCAGCAGGGUCAGGCUCUUACCUCCACCUCCAAAGCACAGACAGGGGCAGGUCUGUCUCACUGUAAGACCGCGAGGAGAGCUGAGGACCUGGACCAGGUUGGGGGCCAUUCCCUUUCCUGAGCAGGCCUCAGGGAAGGACCAGCCCCAUUCUCAUCUGACCCAGGUCUCAGCCCAGGAGCUUGUGUAGGGAAGAAAGGACAAACAAGGCCUCCAUGCUGGCUGACACUCAGGAGGGGUUGGGGCGAUGGAGCAGAGGGAGCACAGGGCCAGGCAGAGGCUGCUUAGGAUCCAUGGGGGAUCAGGCUGCACCAUGGGGCUGCCCCUCCUGGGCUGCACGCAGCAUCCCCUAUGGGAGCUGAGAAAGUCCAGUCCUGAGAUGGCACAGGGGUGUGUGGCUAGGCCCUGACAGCAGUCUCCCAAAAUGUGACUAUAUCACCAAGCUGAGUUCCAGGAAUGCUGAGAAGUGUCCAGUACAGCAAGGAUGCACCUGGAGCCCAUCCUAUCUAAUGGACUCUGACCAUCCCGCGUCCACCUGCCUCUCCUGCAUAUCGGCCACCACCCGUUCCCUUUUCCUCAUUUCUCCAUCGUGACUGACCCAGAGGCUGUGACCCUCUCUGAAGCCCCAGUGGCCCUUCUUUUGUCCUGUCAGAGCCCCUGAGCAAGACUCCCCAGACCCAUCCACAUGCCUGGCUUGUCCACUUACUAAUUGUGCUGCUGUGCACUGCCGGGGUGGCACCAGCGGCAAUGAGGGUAACUGAGGGCCCCACAGGUGACCAGCUUGGUCCUUUACCCCAUCCCUAGCCUCAGGGGGUUCUCAGUCUGUCAGCCAGCAGCCCUGGUUUGGGACACCUGGCUGUCCUCCUCCCAGGAGUUCUGACUCAGCCUCGCCCACCUGUCCUCUGUCCGUGGUGCUGACCAAACCAGCAGGUAGCAGGUCCCCAAAGGGUGCUGCUGAGCUUUGACCGAGGCUCCCCUGCUGAGGGGUCCCAGGUGAGUCGCUGCCCCUGGUUCUACGUCAUCUGCUGUCCUCUUCAGCACCAUCCACCCCACCCUAGGCCGGCUCCAUGCAGAUGCAUCCCCGAGUCACCAGGCUCAGGGUCCUCUAUUGUAGGAUGGAGAUUGCUGUACCUGCUGUACACAUUCAUAUUUAUUGUGUGAAAUAAAAUAUGGAAGCUAAAGUAAAUGAGGACUUUGGUUUGCAUUUUCCUGAUGAUUACUGAUGUUGAGCACUUGUUAGCCAUUUUUAUAUCUUUUUUAAAAGAUAAAUGUCUAUUCAGGUUCUUUGCUUGUAUUUAAAUCAGGUUAUUAGAUUUUGGUGAGUUUUCUCUCUUUUUUUCUAUUCAGUUGUGUGGGCUUCUUUUGUAUUUUGAUUUUAACCCUUUAUGAUAUAUAUUGCUAGCAAAUGUUUUCUCUGAGGUCAUAAGCAGCUUUUUAAUUUCAUUGAUUGAUUUCUCCUGUGCAGAAGCUUUAGGGUUAGAUAUACUCCUACUUGUAUUAUUGUUGCUUGUGCUUUUAAUGUCGUAUUUAACAAAUUAUUAUCUGAACCAAUCUCAAGGAGCUUUUGCCCUGUGUUUUCUUCUAGGAGUUUUACAGUUUCUGAUUAAAUAACAAUGGGCUAUCAGCUCCCAUCUGUUAGGAUGGCUGUUAUAUAAAGGACAAGAGAUAACAAGUGUUGGUGAUGGUGUGGAGAGAAGGGAACCCUUGUACACUGCUGGUUAGAAUGAAAUGAAAUCAGCAUUUUAUAGAGAUAUCUGCACUCCCCUCUUCUCCGUGCCCCACCGCAGCAUCGUUCCCAACAGCCAAGCCAUGGGAUGAAGUUACUGUGCAUUGAUGUACAAGUGAAGAAAAAAAUUGUGGGGGAGGUAUUUGUGUGUAUGUGUGUGUGUGUGUGUAAUAUAUAAUAAUAAAAUAUUUUUCAGCUUUUAAAAAGUUGAAGAUACUGCCAUUUGUGAUAACAUAAAUGAACCUGGAGGAUAAUAAGCUAGUGAAAUAGCUUAGGGAGAGAGAAAAAUACUGCAUAAUUUCUAUUAUAUAUGAAAUCUUUAAAAAGAUUAAAUACAUAGACACAUGACAGAAUGAUGACUUGGGGGAGAAGAGACACAAGUCAACAUUUCAGUUAUAUAAAAUAAAUGAAUCUGGAGGACUAAAGUACAAUUUAAAGGUUAUAGUUACUAUUUUUAUAUUAUACACUAGUAAUUUUUGA